rnacentral:rRNA from 1 species
UACGUAGGUGGCAAGCGUUAUCCGGAAUUAUUGGGCGUAAAGCGCGCGCAGGUGGUUUCUUAAGUCUGAUGUGAAAGCCCACGGCUCAACCGUGGAGGGUCAUUGGAAACUGGGAGACUUGAGUGCAGAAGAGGAAAGUGGAAUUCCAUGUGUAGCGGUGAAAUGCGUAGAGAUAUGGAGGAACACCAGUGGCGAAGGCGACUUUCUGGUCUGUAACUGACACUGAGGCGCGAAAGCCAGGGGAGCAAACGGG